UAUACUGGAUGAAAGCCCUACCUCUCUCUCAUCAAUACGGUUCCUCUGACCGCUCCUUGAUACACUAGCAUGCGUAUCAC
rnacentral:sRNA from 1 species